ACAACGAUGCCAAGUAUAAUUACACAGGUACUAUUAAAUAGCGUAUUUAUAUGAUUUUUAAAUGUUGAGAUUAUUAUUUAUUGCGCAGGUUCGGUUCUACAUCCGCCUUUAUUGAAGACGACCGGCUAAACAGAUCUGUCGUAAACAAAUCUGUUUAGUUUCUGUUUAGUUCCGUUUAGUAUUUCUGAAAGUUGGAAAUAUCCAAAGUCCAAGUGGUUGCUGAAAACCCUGAGGUGUUUGGUUGACCACUUUAAACAAAGGGUGAGAAAAAGGAUACAUUACAUACAAACGGAGUUCCACCACAUUUGACCAUACAUGUACAGAGGCAACAGCAUCCAGUUAGCCCCCUGUGGACACCAGGUCAACCCUUCCAAUGUCAACAGCAUGGUGAACACCUGCUUGGGGAAAGUGAGAGUUUUUAGUACUCUGUAAUGGUUAUUGGAAUACAGGUAGUCCUGGUAAUAAUCUUGCAGAACAUGCCUGGAGGAUAUUUGUACAGGCUAACUUUACUCUAUAUGAGUAAUUCACUGGAAGUUAUACCAUAGAGCACUUUAUGCACAUCCCAAACUUUCAAGGAUAUCAAGUGAUGCACAUGUCUUUGUAUUUUGGGUCCUAUCUUUGACUAUAAUGGAGAAUAUCUAAACCUGCAGUAAUAUUAUAAACAAAAUCUCUGGAAUUUAGCUGCCCAGACUGUGGGGGGGUUUGGAAAUGGAGACAGGUGCAGGAGCUCAUGCAGCUGUCUGCACAGCAGAUGGCUCCCCAGCAGGAAAAGGUUGACUGUAUUGUUGAAGGCCAUCCAGAUAUAUACAAGAAGUGCCCUUCCUGCUCCUGUGUCCUGAAGAGGCCCCUGGACAGCACUAACCAGCCCUUUCAGUUUGUCCAGUGCUCCCAAUGCUCCCCACCCCAACAUUUCUGCUGGUCCUGCCUCGCUCCUUGGCUGUUCUCAAACAAAGCCAGUGCUGGGCACUGCAGCAACAAGUCCUGUGGGCUGGUGGCCAUGCUGCUAAACUGUGACAUGGUCAUCAACAAGAAGAGUGAUGUCUUUGGCUGCCCUCUCUUCCGUGCCUGUCCUAAAUGCCAUGCACCAAUAAUGCACGCAAGAGGAUGCAAGUAUGUCUCGUGCAGCCAUUGUAAUCACAGAUUUUGCUUCAUCUGUCUGGAGCAAUUUGGCACUUGUACAUACUCUUCUGGAGUCUGUAAAAGAACAGACAGACAGAGGUUUGUAACCUAAGUAUAGUAAGGAUCUGUUUUUCCCAAGGAGAAUGUACAUUAUUAAUAUUUGUCAUUAUUUGUUCAACCAUCUUUUCUCCCUACUUCAGAAUGUUGAGCUCCUUGAGUUAGCACCCUUGCAAGAACCAUAGCAGCUGAAGCAUGCAGUCUUUUGAUACAUUCACCUCUAAGCCAGACACAGUUUUACACCUGUACUCCCACACAAUACUACAGGAGGGCUAGCACUAAGGAGAGGCAGCUCUGUCACAGCUGAUGCUCUGUCUGUCCCUUGCAUGUGGUUGGGCAGAUCUAGUCCAUUGAUAGUCUGAGGAUUGACUAAUUGACUAAUCCAAAAUAAAAGGCUAGUGAAGGUAUGGAAGGUAAUAUACAGAAGUGGCUGGAAGUUGCCUCAUGUGAACGUUCAUUACAGUUCAAAAAGCAGCCUGAAGCAGCCCUGAAAUGAUUUUCAACAGAAAGGCCAUAUUUUUUAUCGGUAGGAUGAAGUGAGAGAAAAUGAUGUCAGAGAUGGAUGAGGUAGCAGUGAUGGGAGGAGAAAUGCAGGCAGAUGUAGGCUAGUGGUGGGAGUAAAUGGGAGGCACACCACUGAUGGAUACUGCUAGAGAGCUACUGAGUGGUACUAAUGAAUAAUGCUUUUAGCCAGGUUUGAUUCAUCUCAGCAGGGGCCUGAUGGAAGGUUAAUACAGAGAGAGAGAGUAAGAACGAAAGAAAUAAAGAGAGGGAGGGAGCAAGAGAGAGAGGCAGUCUGCACAGGAAAGACGUGGGCGAGACACGCCAAACCUGAGUAUGAGGAUUACUUCCAGCACUUGAUCACUAUUAGGAUCAUUCCACCAUGCAGAAAAAGUGUGUGUGUUUGUGUGUGGGGAGGGGGGGAAGAUGCUCAUGACGUAUUAUUUUCACUGAUUACACUUCGCUAAAUGGAGGCUUUGGUCAUAAA